GAUGAACGCUGGCGGCGUGCCUAAUACAUGCAAGUCGAGCGAACAGAUGAGGAGCUUGCUCCUCUGACGUUAGCGGCGGAUGGGUGAGUAACACGUGGAUAACCUACCUAUAAGACUGGGAUAACUUCGGGAAACCGGAGCUAAUACCGGAUAAUAUAUUGAACCGCAUGGUUCAAUAGUGAAAGACGGUUUUGCUGUCACUUAUAGAUGGAUCCGCGCCGCAUUAGCUAGUUGGUAAGGUAACGGCUUACCAAGGCAACGAUGCGUAGCCGACCUGAGAGGGUGAUCGGCCACACUGGAACUGAGACACGGUCCAGACUCCUACGGGAGGCAGCAGUAGGGAAUCUUCCGCAAUGGGCGAAAGCUUGACGGAGCAACGCCGCGUGAGUGAUGAAGGUCUUCGGAUCGUAAAACUCUGUUAUUAGGGAAGAACAAAUGUGUAAGUAACUAUGCACGUCUUGACGGUACCUAAUCAGAAAGCCACGGCUAACUACGUG
rnacentral:rRNA from 1 species